rnacentral:rRNA from 1 species
AGAGUUUGAUCCUGGCUCAGGAUUAACGCUGGCGGCAUGCCUAAUACAUGCAAGUCGAACGAGAGUAGCAAUACUCUAGUGGCGAACGGGUGAGUAACACGUAGGAAACCUACCUCAAAGACGAGGAUAACUACUGGAAACGGUAGCUAAAACUGGAUAGGAUAUACAAAGGCAUCUUAGUAUAUUUAAAAGUCCUUCUGGGAAUGCUAUGAGAUGGUCCUGCGGCGCAUUAGCUAGUUGGUGAGGUAAAGGCCCACCAAGGCGACGAUGCGUAGCUGUGCUGAGAGGCAAAACAGCCACACUGGGACUGAGACACGGCCCAGACUCCUACGGGAGGCAGCAGUAGGGAAUUUUCGGCAAUGGGCGAAAGCCUGACCGAGCAAUGCCGCGUGAAUGAAGAAAUUCUUCGGAAUGUAAAAUUCUGUGGUGAGGGAAGAAAGGUAUUAGAAGGAAAUGGCUAAUAUUUGACGGUACCUUACUAGAAAGCCCCGGCUAACUAUGUGCCAGCAGCCGCGGUAAUACAUAGGGGGCAAGCGUUAUCCGGAAUUAUUGGGCGUAAAGCGUGCGUAGGCGGCCACUUAAGUCUGUCGUGAAAGCCCACAGCUUAACUGUGGAGGGUCGAUGGAAACUGAGAGGCUUGAAUCUAGGAGAGGUAAGUGGAAUUCCAUGUGUAGCGGUAAAAUGCUUAGAUAUAUGGAGGAACACCAGUGGCGAAGGCGGCUUACUGGUCUAGAAUUGACGCUGAUGCACGAAAGCGUGGGUAGCAAACAGGAUUAGAUACCCUGGUAGUCCACGCCGUAAACGAUGAUUACUAGGU